CAUAGAAACAGUCUUAUUAUUUUUUAUUAAUUUUUUUACAAAAUAGAUUUUUCAACUGGUUCAUGAAAAUGAGCAAAAUGUAUUGUCUAAAUAAAGCCAUACCAAUUUUUCACCUUAUGAGAAAUGGAAGUUAGGUUCAUUUGGAAUAAUCUCUUCUCAAUGAAAACUUGUUGGUGCCUAGCAAUGACUUCCCUUUUUUUAUGUUUAUAGGAUGCCCUUCAAGAACUUUGCCCAGGACUCUGGCAUCUAUGGUUUGCAGAAUCAACCUUCUUCCCCUUUUCACAAAAUGGAAUAGUGUGUACCCAGCCACAGUCUUCUGGCGUCUCUCCCCGGCCCCACAGUCCCUGAAAAGCUGCCAACAGUCUUCUCAUAUAUAAAUUCUGUUGGUACCCCAGCCGGAAUUUGUCCAAGCUUGGAGACAUAAGCUCAUUGAAAGCUAGGCAUUCUCAUACAAUACCCCAUUUAUUUUGUGCCUCAAUGUCUUCCUGCUGAUAUUUGUAUGAAGAACAUUCAACUUUAGAAAAGUUGGAACAGGGAAGCUGGUGUUUAGAGGUGGAAGCCAGUAAGUUCCGGGUGCAAAUCCAGAUUCUUUCAUUCUCCAAAGGUCUGAUCUUGGGCUAGGUUAUCCAAUUCUUUGAACUUCAGUUUGCUAACCUCUUCAGGCCUGCUGAUUUCUUGGCAGGAAGGACCUAAAGUAACAGGGCAACAGACGAUGCUUCAAAUAGAAUGGUACUCUCACUGUAUACCCUGGUGGAACAUCCUCUUCCCAGGAGUGGAGAUCUCUAAACUCACAGGGCCCAGACUUGCAGGGACAGGAUGCAAACAUUCUCCAAGUGGGUCCCUGGCAGUGUGGGUAAGCAGGGCCACUCCUGCUCCUACCGCUUGGUUCUCAAAACCGUGUGUUCUACCUAUUUGGGACACCACACCAUAUGAUGAUGUUGCUUUAGGAUAUACUCUGUAAGGGUCGGGCCUGGUGGCUCACACCUGUAAUCCCAGCACUUUGGGAGGCUGAGGCAGGUGGAUCACUUGAGGUCAGGAGUUUGAGACCAGCCUGGCCAAC
rnacentral:lncRNA from 1 species